AAUGGAAGUGAGAAUGAGAGUGAA
rnacentral:miRNA from 1 species